CACCUCUAGCAUUACUAGUAUUAGAGGCACUGCCUGCCCAGUGACACACGUUUAACGGCCGCGGUACCCUGACCGUGCAAAGGUAGCAUAAUCACUUGUUCUUUAAAUGGGGACUCGCAUGAAAGGCACCACGAGGGUUUAACUGUCUCUUACUUUUAACCAGUGAAAUUGACCUGCCCGCGAAGAGGCGGGCAUAAAAUAAUAAGACGAGAAGACCCUAUGGAGUUUUAAUCUAUUAAUGCAAUCAAAAACUACACAAACCCACGGACCUUUAAACUACCGACACCUGCAUUAAAAAUUUUGGUUGGGGCGACCUCGGAGCACAACAAAACCUCCGAAUAACACAUGCUAAGACCACACAAGUCAAAGCGAACUAAUACUUACAAUUGAUCCAAUAAUUUGAUCAACGGAACAAGUUACCCUAGGGAUAACAGCGCAAUUCUAUUCUAGAGUCCAUAUCGACAAUAGAGCUUACGACCUCGAUGUUGGAUCAGGACAUCCUAAUGGUGCAGCAGCUAUCAAGGGUUCGUUUGUUCAACGAUUAAAGUCCU
rnacentral:rRNA from 1 species